rnacentral:rRNA from 1 species
CAAGUCGAGGGGCAGCAUGGUGUAGCAAUACACUGAUGGCGACCGGCAAACGGGUGCGGAACACGUACAGAACCUUCCUUCGAGCGGGGAAUAGCCCAGAGAAAUUUGGAUUAAUACCCCAUAGUACAUUAGAGUGGCAUCACUUUAAUGUUAAAGAUUUAUCACUUGAAGAUGGCUGUGCGGCUGAUUAGGUAGUUGGCGGGGUAACGGCCCACCAAGCCUGCGAUCAGUAACUGGUGUGAGAGCACGACCAGUCACACGGGCACUGAGACACGGGCCCGACUCCUACGGGAGGCAGCAGUAAGGAAUAUUGGUCAAUGGACGAAAGUCUGAACCAGCCAUGCCGCGUGGAGGAUGAAGGUCCUCUGGAUUGUAAACUUCUUUUAUAUGGGACGAAAAAAGGCUUUUCUAAGUCGUCUGACGGUACCAUAUGAAUAAGCACCGGCUAACUCCGUGCCAGCAGCCGCGGUAAUACGGAGGGUGCAAGCGUUAUCCGGAUUCACUGGGUUUAAAGGGUGCGUAGGUGGGUUGGUAAGUCAGUGGUGAAAUCCCCGAGCUUAACUUGGGAACUGCCAUUGAUACUAUCAGUCUUGAAUACCGUGGAGGUCAGCGGAAUAUGUCAUGUAGCGGUGAAAUGCUUAGAUACGACAUAGAACACCAAUUGCGAAGGCAGCUGGCUACUCGAAUAUUGACACUGAGGCACGAAAGCGUGGGGAUCAAACA